rnacentral:lncRNA from 1 species
GGAUCUAAUUUCAGUUUUCUUUUUCCUCAGAAAGGAGUGGACUGUGGGUGAAAGCAUAGGAAACUCGUUGAUACCUCCUGUUGGUGGUGGUCUAUACUCCAGCCUAGAUUAGUCACUUUGGUCGUAUGACUGAAAAGAAAAAGUAGAUAAAGAAAAAGGGAAGUGACAUAUGACGGACUUAAAUACGCCUGCUGCUCCUGAAGAGGGAAAACAUCCUCUUUUGGAUGAGUGUUUAGAAUAUUGGAUCUAAUGUAUCUUCCUUCUCUUCUUCUUUAUAAGGAAGAUUUACUUACAUUAGUAUGAUAGAAAUACACAUGGAAUACAUGCGUAUUUCCUGUUGGUGGUGGUCUCUUCUUCUUUCUUAUUUCUUUAGUAUAUUAAAGUGGUUAUAGAUAUAUACCAAUUGUUGAAGAGCCAAAUGUUUGGUUCAUUAGUCCAUAUUCUUAACCAUUCCCUGGUAUCUACAUAUGAUGCAUGCUUGGCAGUUGAUGUACAUAUACAUUAGUGUUCAUUAGUUCAUUUUCUGUUGUUGUGAUCAUUACUUGUUGGUUUAUCUAUCCUAUAAGAUUGAUUCAUUAUGAAAUUUGUAGAUUUUUGUUGUCCAUCGGUAAUAGCUUAUGUACGUGUUUUCUAUGUGGGUUGAUAGGCUUUGUCAGCGACAGGAUCAACGGCUCUAAGAUAUGCACGUGAAGUAGAAGGAUUGGUCAAGUUGUUGCACUGGACAAUGAUAAAGGUACAUUUGACUUUUCAGCAAUGUUGUGUUUGAUAAUGCCAUUUGUAGAAUGGUCUUAUGCUUAUUGUUUUAAAGGAGUAUGUUGGCCUUUGUAUAGUUUAGUACAUAUGCAGAGAUAUUGUAUACACUUAUCCUAUGAUUGUUAUUUUCAGGUGUAUGUUUUUAUGUAUGGUUUACACUUCGGAAUUUUUAAAAUGCAUGGUUUGCUAAUGUUCAAUGAUACUUGCAUAUAUUCUGUUCAAUGUUUUUUUGUUUAGGUAUUUGCAUGUUUUUAUGUAUUCCUGUUGAUGGUCUUCUGGGAAUGUUUAAUGUUCUAGUUAUUUUGUGAUUUAUAUUAUACUUUAAAUUUCAUUUGUCCGUUUUUUUAUUUUGGUUAUUCUUCCAAUUAUUUUGUGGUGAAUACAUACACUAUGAUAGGUAGUUCCAAUGUCAACAUAGAUAGAUCUAUGACUCUGCCAUGUAAUAGAUGUUUGAUAUUCAACUUAAUAUCACUUUCACAUAUGUUUUGAUUUGAACGGAACUUUUCUAUCAAUUUAGAUCAGCUAGGCAGUAAGUUUACCAUACGUACGUUGAAUUGCAAAUUGUGAUCUCUCUGUAUUCAUGUGGAUGUAAGCUAGUUCAUAGAGCUGAAUUUCUGUAUGUCAGCCGUAAUUUUGACACUUGUUUUAUUGAUUUAUAAAAUAUUGCCCCCAUACCAGAGCAAAUUAUAGCUAUCAAGGUAUUACUCAUUGUUCAAUUAGUUUCUUUUCUCACCCCCUGUUUACUGCGUCCCAUUACUUCUCAAUAUCAAAACAAUUUAGAGAAGUCUAUGUGGUUGGAAGUAGAUGUUUUUUGUGGACUGGAAUGGUAGAAAAGAGUUAUAUGUUUUAUGUUUAAGUAGAUUAGAUAGACUUUAUUAUCAUAGAUUAGAUAGAAUGUAUUAUCAACUCUUCUCAAUUUUAUCUUUUUUAUUGAUGCAUGUAAUAUGAUGGACUUAUUACUCAACCUUAAGACUUAUCUUGUGUGACAUUUUCUUUUGGGCUUGCAGAACUUCGAAGUUGAUGCUAUGGAGAAGUUUAUCAAAGAAAAUAGCGUGCCUACUGUGACUAUUUUCAACCAAGACGAAAGCAACCAUCCAUUCCUAGUCAAAUUUUUUGACAGUCCCAAUGCUAAGGUACUUCGAUUCUUAGCUUCCCAAAGUAAAAAAAAAUCUCAAUUUUGAAUAUGCUACUUAAAUAUCUUCAACUUGUGACAUACCUAAGGAUUGUAAUUCCAGAUUAUUAUAAAUAAAUAUAAUAUACUGCAUGUAUAAUUAACUCUCCCUCGGUCCUUUAAAUCAUGUCCUUCUUUCUUUGUAUUUGUGACAAUCUUGAAAUAUAAUAUGUUUUUGGUUGCAAGAAUCAGUUUUCUGAAAAUUUCAUUUCAUUUGCUUUAGGCAAUGCUGUUUCUGAACUUUAGUUCUGAGCUUAUUGAUGCUUUCAAGUCAAAGUAUAAUGAUGUUG